rnacentral:misc_RNA from 1 species
UCCGGCUUGACGCCGGCAGUCCCCCGAGAGUCCUCAGCUUUACCUGCUAGUAACACGGGGCAAGGGUUGCGCUCGUUACGGGACUUAACCCGACAUCUCACGACACGAGCUGACGACGGCCAUGCAUCACCUGUCACUGCGUUCCCGAAGGCACAGUCUCCUUUCGGAGUCCUUCGCAGGAUGUCAAAUCUUGGUAAGGUUAUCGUUUACCAUCGAAUUAAACCACACGCUCCACCGCUUGUGCGGGUCCCCGUCAAUUCCUUUGAGUUUCACCGUUGCCGGCGUACUCCCCAGGUGGAUUACUUAUCGCUUUCGCUAAGCCGCGUACUGUAUAUCGCACACAGCGAGUAAUCAACGUUUACAGUGUGGACUAC